rnacentral:rRNA from 1 species
UACGUAGGAUGCAAGCGUUGUCCGGAAUUACUGGGCGUAAAGGGCGAGCAGGUGGCACUACAAGUCUGAUGUAAAAUCUCCCGGCUUAACUGGGAGGGGCCAUUGGAAACUGUAGAGCUGGAGUGCAGGAGAGGCUAACGGAAUUCCCGGUGUAGUGGUGAAAUGCGCAGAUAUCAGGAAGAACACCCGUGGCGAAGGCGGCUCUCUGGGACGGUACUGACGCUGAGACGCGAAAGCGUGGGGAGCGAACAGG